CCACGUUGGAAGGAAAUUGGGAAAUUCUCCAUCACUGCUCUCAAUGGGAACUGUUGUGCACUAAUCUGGAGCUGGAAACAUGAACCCAUGUGACCAGGAAUGUGUUGGCAAUGGUAUAAAACAAAGGCUCUGUCCCGGGAAGUCAGAAUGCCUGCAGAAUUAUUGAGAUGAAUACUUCAGAUUGUCCCGAGGAGAGACACUUCGCAGAGACAGCUCAUGCAAAGGAGCCAUGCAAAUUGGGCUGAUAAAUAUUUAGCAGGAGGGGAAGGCAACAAAAAGUGGUUGUGUUCUGCCUCCAGGAUGCUGCAGCAGCGCGUGGUGCACACGUGAGCAUAGAGGGCUCUGCAAGGACUGCACCAUCAGUGACUUCGGAACCCCUUGCAGUCAGCACAGACUAUGAUUUAAAGAUGCGCAAGAGAAACCUGUGGCUCCUCUCAAGGGCUCCUUUCAGCUGAUGGAUGUGAUCCGACCUGCAGCUUCCUCCCUCUGUUCCAGGGCUCAGAGCACAUCGGGAGCACUGCUGGGGAUGCUCCGGGCUGCAGAGAGCUGCACAGCAGCGCUGCCUGUUGCUGUGUCACACCACAGGCUUUCCUGUCAACGUGCCACUCAGCCCUACUGCUCUGGGUUUGACUGACACUCGGCGGUCCUCCCCGCUCGUGCUUGGGGCUUCCUCCCGGAAAACGACUGGGAACAUCAGGGUUGCAACUGGAAGGUUGUGUUUCCGACUGAUUUGCAAGGCUUGGGGAGGCGCUGAGAUUUGCAUCGUUCUGCAACAGCCGGGAUCAAAGGUGCAGCUCAGAAACGUGAGGCGUUUUGGAGCAACCUGCAAAGCAGCUGAGGAAGGCGUGGAGCUGGGAGAGCGCAGACAGACAGCGAUAGAAGACUGAAUUGCUCCGUGCGUUGAGCAAUUAAGCCAAGCCGAACGGGGCAGCGUGAACAAAGCGAUGGGGAAAUCACUGAGGCACAAAGCUGAGCUCACUGACCGCGAUGUGGUGAGGGGGCUCAAUAAGGGUCAAUUAAGCUCCCACCGCACCGCCUGGCAGACGGAAUUAAGUGCCAAUUUUCUGCACUGCUGCAGAGGCAGAGCAUUAAAAUGAUAAAUAACAGGAAGUUUCAGCCAAAAAGAAGGAGCAAGUUGGGAGAUGGGAGUUUGAGGCUGAGCCGGCAGUGAGACAGCCCUGAGCACCACUGCCCUCUGCCGCAGCCGCAGCGCUCUCCUCUACAGCAAACCCACGAGGGUGGGUGGAUGGAAGCACGCAGACCCGCGGCUCCUGGCCGGGUAGUGGGCUGCUCUGCUUAGUGCACCCCGAUGGCUGCGGGGUGUGCCGAGGUUUUGCCUCCAGCUCGUUGGGAAGCACAUUUUUCGGCCAUAGGUGGGAUGCUGCAGCACUGAGAGCGUGGUGAAGGAGCAGAGCCCUUCCUUCUAACCGAGGUAUCCACGCUCUGCUCGGGGCCAGCAGGUGCAGGCAAAGCUCCCAUUAGGGCAGACGGUUCCUGGGCUCUCAUACGUGUGCGUGGCACAGCUGUGCUCGUGCAGCUCCCCGACCUCCUCCUCCUCCUCCUUUUUGCAGCAGGUGGGAACGCAGAGCGGCUGCUUUCGUUCUCAUUGCCACGCAGGGUCUGAGCAGUUGCUGCGGGUCGUGGGGAUCUGGGAACAAACGCCGGGCUGGGAAAGCAGAUUGCGGUCCGUUUGUGGAGGUUCCCGGGCUGAGCGCAGCUCUUCUCUCCCCGCGCUACGCUUUCUGAGCUGAAAUGGCCGCUGCCGCCCGCAUUGCUGCUCCUGGCGCUCCCUCUGCAGGGAGCACAGCGCCAGCGGGGCCGCAUCCAUCUCCGCUCGCAGCAGCCACGCACCGGCACUCGGAGUGCGGUGGAAGUGAUUUCUGUGCGUGCGUGCGGAGCGCUGAGCCCCGGCUUUUGGGGCUUUCUGGGAGCACACCGUAAUUUGGGCGACCUGGGGGCUGCGAUGCCCUUUCCGGGGUCCAACGAACGGGGGCAGGU
ensembl:lncRNA